GUGAUGGCAGGGAGGUUGUGUAGGAGGCAGUUGAAAUAAUCCAGGCAAGAGAUGUUGAUUUGGAUUAAUAAAAUGAAAACGUGAUUUCCAGGGUGGGGUUGUUGGAGUGAUUUAAAGUAUUAUCUUUGAAAUUAAAUGAAAAUAUCUCCGUAUUUGAAAUUUACUGUUGCACCUUGACAACUGAAGCUUUUGAAAAUGGAAUUUGUAUAUAGAUUUAACUGCAUAAAUCAUUAAUGAAGCACCUAUGAAAUACCCAAUGAAGUGAUAGAAUGCUAGAGGAUCUCCUCCUGAACAAGUUAUUUUAAUCUCACUGGAUGAGCUACAGAAAAUCAUGAACAUGUAUUCUGGAGCACUUUUUGUUUAAAUGUGUGUAAGAAAGAUAAUAUUUAUGGUGCAUCCACUAGCUACCAGUGUUUGUACUGGGCAUUUAACAUAGGGAGUGCCUUUAACCUUGAAAACAACUCUGUGACAGCAGUUUUCAAAAAUCCUUGGUUUUAGGACCCUUUUAGAUUUUUAAAAAUCAUUGAGGACCCUGAAAGCUUUUGUUUGUGUGGGCUGUAGAGAGAGAUAGGUAGAUAGACAGAUAUAGAUAGAGAUAUAGAUGUUAACCAUAUUCAGAAUUAAAACUAAAACAUUAAAAAUUAUUAAUUUGGAAUUCUUGUUAUGGUGCAGUGGAAAUGAAUCCAGCUAGUAUCCAGAAAGUUGUGGGUUCGAUCCCUGGCUUUGCUCAGCAGGUCAGGGAUCCAGAGUUGCCAUGAGCUGCAGUGUAGGUCACAGAUGUGGCCCCGAUCCCAUGUUGCUGUGGCUGUGUUGUAGGCUGGCAGCUGCAACUUGAUUUGAUCCCUAGCCUGGUAACUUCCAUAUACCGUGAGUGCAGCCCUAAAAAUCAAUAAUAAAAUAAUAAUAAAAAAUAGCAAAAAAAAAAAACUUAUAUGUAAUAUAAAUACCAUAAUUUAUAAAAGUUUAAAAUGUAGAAAAAAUAGCACAGAUAUACUUUUUUGUAAAUAUUGUAAAUUUCUGGCUUAAUAGAAGAUUCUCAUUUUUGCUUCUGUGUUGAAUCUGUUGUGAUGGAUUGUUGUGGUUUAAAUAUAUGGAGAAAAGCUGACCUUAUACAGAUAUAUAGUAGAAAUCAGGGAAAAUUUUAAAAUCCUUUUCAGGUAAUUGUGAAAAUUAACUGUAACAAGGAAUCUGAAGUGUAUUUUUUUUUUUUUUUUUUUUUUUUUUUGUCUUUUUAGGGCUGUACCUCCACCAUGUGGAGGUUCCCAGGGUAGGGGUUGAAUCGGAGCUGUAGCAGACAGCCUAUGCCACAGCCAUAGCAGCGCCAGAUCCAAGCUGUGUCUGCAACUUAUACCAUAGCUCACAGCAGUGCAGGAUCCUUAAUCCUGAGCAGGGCCAGGGAUCGAACCUGCAUCCUCAUGGAUGCUAGUCAGAUUCGUUUCCACUGAGCUGCGAUGUGAACUCCCAACUUUUUUUAAUUCUGUCAAAUUUAAGUCCAUUGAUUGCCUUUCAUGUUACCCAUACAUGGUAUUGUAACAUCCUAUGUUGGUCAUUUAGAAAAUAUUGACUUACUGAGUGGUGCUUGUCUCCAAAUGUUGAUACAUUUUACUUUGCAGUAUUUUUAAAGUGGCGUGUGUGUUCCAAUACCACCAACCUCAUCCGAAAAGCCCGUAUGUCUUAGGAAGCUAUCAAGGUCACAGUGGAGAGGCAAGUUUUCCAAAAUUCUAACUUUCACUUGAUAGAUCACAUUUUAUCAUUGGUAACAGUGUUUACCUUGCAGUAACAGGUCUGCUUCUUUUAUUUUCAGGAAAAUGUCAGCCACCUAUCUACGUUGCAAUAACCAUAGUUUAUCUCAGUUGUUAUUUCAAGUAAAAAUGGUAUCCUGUGAAAAUGACUGCUAGUUCAACUCACGAGACACAUGCUUUUCCAUGAGGCAGCCAUGCAUGCCAGUGAUCUUCAGAAAUGCUUUAUGUGGAUCACCCAUUUUAUCACAGAGAAUAUUAAAAAGAUGAGUACUGAAGAGUUAAGAUUGAGUAUUAUUCAUCAUGCUGCUUCAUUUAGGACAUUCUUAGGUGAGACAAAAGUGUCCCUCUUCUUUAUCUCUGUCAACACUGAUCGAAGAAAAAUACGACCACUACUGUGACAGUUUGGUACCACUGCCUAGAUUCACACUGAGGCUGGAACAGUUUUACCCUCAUUUACUGUGGCACCAUCAGUGCAAAUGUCAACACAAUGGCAAAGGCAAACACCGUAAUGUUGUUAUAAAUUAGUUUUUUUAUUGCAAACGCCAUAGGAGCUGGAUACUGUGCCCACCCCCACCCCAGCCUCGUGGAUCUGUUUUGAGAAUUAAUGUUUUAUGCAGUAGGUGUUUUAGGAUGAAGAGACUGAGCCUGAGAGAGGCCAGGUGACUUGUGUCAGGUCACAUGGCUUGUCUGCAGCAUCAAAACUUGAAUUCAGGUCUGUCAGACCCAAAGUUAGUCUCCACUGGUCCCCUUUCCCUCUGUAUACACUCACAACGGUAGCCUUACAUAGGACCUAGAAGGAAGUGUGAACUUGGUUGUUCAAAAUGAGGGAUCUGGGUGAUAAGAAUAAAAUAAAUGAAAUGGGCACAGAGCACUUUGUGGAGGUUAAAAAAAGACCCAAGUGGAGUAUCCAUUUGGCCAUUUCUAUACAUGGCAUUGGGGAAGGAGGGUGGGUGGCAUGAACUGAUCAAGGACUUGAAUGUCAGAAGAAUGCCGACCUUAUUUUUUUAAAAAAGACUUUUAAUUCUUAACCAGAGAACAUGUGAUAAAAAUAGCAUUAAACUGUCAUCAAUGGUGGAUGUAUCACCCAAGGAUAGAGAGUGGGGGGAAGGAAAAUCUUGGAGGUCAUUGUGUUCAUUCAGCAUGUGGUAAUAGCUUCAACCACAGCAAAAGGGGGAGAAGGAUCAGAAAAAUAAAACAAAGAUAAAGCAUCCAGAGUAUAGUCAUUGCUAAUGGGGGAUGCAAAGGAAAAUGAUCCAUUGGACUUGCAGCUGUCAAGUGUGAGGCUCUGAGGAACACAGAUUAAUCUUUUAAUCUUUUUAAAAGAUUAGCGGUUACUUGGGGGUGAUUAGCGGUUAUGGUGGACUGGAGGUCAUGUCAAUAUAGCCAGCUGAAGAUGUUCUGGUAACAGUUGAUUUGUGAAAUUUGAAUUAAGGUUGCGGUAGCUAUAAAGAUCAAUGCCUCAAGAGUGGGCGAUUGAGAGCUUAUCAUGGAAGAUGCCUACUGUUAGGAUGGAGUGAAGAAGAACCAAUUUAGGAGAAAGAGGAGUGAUUGAAGAGGUAGAAGCACAUCAGCAGCAGGGGUUGUAACUGGAGUCAUCUUCAUUGAUUGAGGUAGCAACUGUAAUAAUGAUAAUGGCUGAUGCUUACUAAGGUCUUAGUAUGUGGCAGGCUUGGCAUGCAGUGGGUCAUGGAAUUCUCAGAACAAUAUUAUGGAGGAUGACAGGUUUUAGUCCCAGUCCCAGGAGAAAACAUGGUGUUUAGAAACAUGAGAUAAUUCAUCCAAGGUCAUACAGCUAGCAAGUUGGCUCAGAAUUGAUCUCCCAUCUCUCUGAAUCUGGCAUCACUCCCCAUUUUACUGUAGUCUUAGGAGAACCAAGGAACUGAAUGAGUUCACCAUGUGCUGUGUAAAAUUCACAAGUGAAGUCAGCAGUGACAAGAACCAAGGAAGACCAUCUUAAGAGGGCUCUCCGUGUGAGGUCUCAGCAGAGAGAUGAUAUUGGAAGCAGGCGACAAGAAGUGGUGACUCGUGUCUAAGGAAAUGAAUGGGGCUUAAGCAAAAGGGACAGCUUGUGGGAGAGAUUUGUAAAUGAAAGUAAAAAAAAAAAAACUAAAACAUGUUUCAAUUAGCAUGGAUUAUUAACUGAAGUGGUUUAGAAUUUAGGUGAAAGUAGGUGUAAAGUAGUUGAAAGUGGGUAGGAAUAAUGUGUCAGGUGACAAGAAGGAAAGCACUUACUUGUGGGUGUGAUAGGUGAUGGGUGUGGGAGAAAGAGGUAAGGACUAAGAGUUUGGGUAGAGGGCAGUUUCUGCUGUGGUGCAGUGGGUUAAGAAUCCAACUGCAGUGACUCGGGUUGCUGUGA
rnacentral:lncRNA from 1 species